rnacentral:rRNA from 1 species
AUUGAACGCUGGCGGCAGGCCUAACACAUGCAAGUCGAGCGGAUGACGGGAGCUUGCUCCUUGAUUCAGCGGCGGACGGGUGAGUAAUGCCUAGGAAUCUGCCUGGUAGUGGGGGACAACGUUUCGAAAGGAACGCUAAUACCGCAUACGUCCUACGGGAGAAAGCAGGGGACCUUCGGGCCUUGCGCUAUCAGAUGAGCCUAGGUCGGAUUAGCUAGUUGGUGGGGUAAUGGCUCACCAAGGCGACGAUCCGUAACUGGUCUGAGAGGAUGAUCAGUCAAACUGGAACUGAGACACGGUCCAGACUACUACGGGAGGCAGCAGUGGGGAAUAUUGGACAAUGGGCGAAAGCCUGAUCCAGCCAUGCCGCGUGUGUGAAGAAGGUCUUCGGAUUGUAAAGCACUUUAAGUUGGGAGGAAGGGCAGUAAGUUAAUACCUUGCUGUUUUGACGUUACCGACAGAAUAAGCACCGGCUAACUCUGUGCCAGCCGCCGCCGUAAUAC